UUUGUGGAGUACACCAAGCAGGUUGUCAAACUGGUGGUCCCUUUACUGAAAUUUUAUUUCCACAAUGGUGUUGGAGGGGCAGCAGCAGAAUCCGUGCCUUUUCUUCUGGAGUGUGUGAGAGUCCGUGGUCCUGAGUAUCUCACACAGAUGUGGCAAUUUAUGUGAUGUUCUGAUUAAGACCAUUGGUACAGAAACAGAUUCAGAUGUCCUCAGAAAUAAUGCAUUGUUUAGCAAAGUGCAUUGAAGUUAUGGGAGAUGGAUGCCUUAAUAAUGAACACUUUGAAGAA
rnacentral:lncRNA from 10 species